GCUUCGGUAGUGUAGUUGGUUAUCACGUCACCCUUACAAGGUGAAGGUCUCCAGUUCGAACCUGGGCUGAAGCA